rnacentral:rRNA from 1 species
GACGAACGCUGGCGGCGUGCUUAACACAUGCAAGUCGAACGGGCCUUGUCCCCUUUUUUUUUGGGGGUGGGGUUAGUGGCGAACGGGUGAGUAACACGUGAGUAACCUUCCCCUCACUUCUGGAUAACCGCUUGAAAGGGUGGCUAAUACGGGGUGUUCUGGCCUGCUCGCAUGGGUGGGUUUGGAAAGAUUCGGCCGGUUUUGGUUGUUUUGGUGGGGGAUGGGCUCGCGGCCUAUCAGCGUGUUGGUGGGGCGAUGGCCUGGCAAGGCUUUGACGGGUAGCCGGCCUGAGAGGGUGAGCGGGCACGCUGGGACUGAGACACGGCCCAGGCUCCUACGGGAGGCAGCAGUGGGGAAUAUUGCACAAGGGGCGCAAGCCUGAUGAAGCGACGCCGCGUGAGGGAUGGAGGCCUUCGGGUUGUGAACCUCUUUCGCCAGUGAAGAAGGUCCUGCUCUUUGUGGUGGGGUUGACGGUAGCUGGGUUAAUGAAGCGCCGGCUAACUACGUG